UUUAAAUGCCCCAGUCUGUUAACCAGAGGAAGCUUAACAGAGAGGUGAAGAUACAGAUCUAGGAGGAGAGGGAGAGACUCAGGGAGGAGCUGAGCUGUUACUGAACUAUAGAAGAGAGAGGAACUUCUAGAUUCAACAGAGAUCAAUACACACACCAUCAACAUUACCUUUAUUCAACAUGCUGCCACUGCAGCAUUGGGGGUUUUCUCUGAUGUUUCUCUCCAUCCUCACAGGAGUCAGCUGUGAAGAACUCACUCCAGUAGAGAAAGAAGAGAACAGUUUAGAAGACAGCUCUAUUACUCUGUCCUACAGUUACUCCAGACAAGCAGCUGGUAGUGAUCAGUUUUACUGGUAUCGACAAUAUCCAGGAAAACCUCCAGAGUUCCUCAUAUUUCACUUGGGAUCGCAAAAUGAAACAAAAUCUGGACUGUCUUCUUCAGUGAGUGAGGAUAAAACCAAAAUGGAUCUCCAGAUCUCCUCAGCUAAGCUGUCUGACUCUGCUGUGUACUACUGUGCUCUGCAGCCCACAGUGACAGGAAACACCAAAACUCUGUACAAAAACCUUUGGAGCAAAGACAACACAAUACUCCACAACGUCCACCAGAGAGAGACACCCUCUGUUAACCUUCAGAGUAUUUUAUGAGCCAGUCUGGAUUCUUUUCACCAAUGAAACCCAGUUGUGAUGAAGACUUGGAGAAAUGAAAGUAAGUCAACAUCUGAGUCUCCUCCUCCUGACUGCAGAGGUGGCUUCAUGACAGACAACUGUUUGAUUCCAGCUGUGAACAUCA